rnacentral:rRNA from 1 species
GGCCAUUUUUUUGCUAAGGUAGCAUAAUUACUUGCUUUUUAAAUAAAAGAUUGUUUGAAAGGGACUUCCGUGAAAAUUCNUUUUAUUUUUGAUCUUAAAUUUUUUAUUUGUAAAAAAUCAAUUUUUUAAUAAAAGACGAGAAGACCCCAAAAAUUUUAAUUAGGAAAUUUUUAGUGGGGCACUUCCUUUUUUUUUAAAAGGUUAAAAAAAGAAAAUAAAAAAAUUACUUUGGGGAUAACAGGGAAAUUUAAAAUAAAGACCAUAUUAAAUUUUAAGAUUUCUACCUCGAUGUUGAAUUAGAUGUAAUCUUUAGGGCAAAAAACAAAGUUAUUCGGCCUGUUCGGC